rnacentral:rRNA from 1 species
GGGGCUAAAGUGUAAAACCGAAGUCGUGUCAUAUGCAGCAAUGUAUAUGGGUAGGGGAGCGUUCUCAUCGGGCUGAAGCAGUACCGUAAGGAGUUGUGGACUGAUGAGAAGUGAGAAUGUCGGUAUGAGUAGCGAAAAGAAUGGUGAGAAUCCAUUCCACCGAAAGCCUAAGGGUUCCUGAGCAACGAUCGUCGUCUCAGGGUAAGUCGGGACCUAAGCCGAGGCGGAAAAGCGUAGGCGAUGGACAACAGGUUGAAAUUCCUGUACCGGUGUGAAUCGUUUGAUCGAAGGAGUGACACAGUAAGGUAGGUCAGCACGCGAUUGGAAGUGCGUGUUUAAGCAUGUAGGUUGAGCUAUAGGCAAAUCCGUAGCUCUAAAAGCUGAGAUGUGAUGACGAGCUGUUUACAGCGAAGUGAUUGAUCCUACACUGUCGAGAAAAGCUUCUAGGUAGAGACACAUCGCCCGUACCAAAACCGACACAGGUAGGCGGGGAGAGAAUCCUAAGGUGCGCGGGAAAACCCUCGUUAAGGAACUCGGCAAAAUGCCUCCGUAACUUCGGGAAAAGGAGGACUCAUGUAGUGUGAAGGGCAGUAACGCGUGGAGCAUGAAUGAGUGGCACA